rnacentral:rRNA from 1 species
UAGGGAAUAUUGGUCAAUGGGCGCGAGCCUGAACCAGCCAUGCCGCGUGCAGGAAGACGGCCUUCUGGGUUGUAAACUGCUUUUGACAGGGAAGAAAAAGCUCAUGCGUGAGCCACUGACGGUACCUGUAGAAUAAGCACCGGCUAACUCCGUGCCAGCAGCCGCGGUAAUACGGAGGGUGCGAGCGUUGUCCGGAUUUAUUGGGUUUAAAGGGUGCGUAGGCGGUAGAUUAAGUCAGAGGUGAAAGCCAGCAGCUCAACUGUUGAACUGCUUUUGAUACUGGUUUACUUGAAUACAGAUGAGGUAGGCGGAAUUUAUGGUGUAGCGGUGAAAUGCAUAGAUACCAUAAGGAACUCCGAUAGCGAAGGCAGCUUACUAAACUGUGAUUGACGCUGAGGCACGAAAGCAUGGGGAUCGAACAGGAUUAGAUACCCGUGUAGUCC